GCGCCCAUAGCUCAACUGGAUAGAGCGUCGGCCUACGGAGCCGAAGGUUAGAGGUUCGAAUCCUCUUGGGCGUACCA
rnacentral:tRNA from 1 species